GAUAAACGCUGGCGGCGUGCCUAACACAUGCAAGUCGAACGCCCUUACGCAAGUAAGGGAGUGGCGGACGGGUGAGGAACACGUGGGUGAUCUGCCUUGAGGUGAGGAAUACCGGCGAGAAAUCGCCGACAAUACCGCAUACGUUCGCAAGAACAAAGUCGCAAGACGCCUUGAGAUGAGCCUGCGUCCGAUUAGCUAGUUGGUGGGGUAAAAGCCUACCAAGGCAGCGAUCGGUAGCUGGUCUGAGAGGACGAUCAGCCACACUGGGAUUGAGAACGGCCCAGACU
rnacentral:rRNA from 1 species